CCAAUCCAUGUAAUAAAACGAGAAGCGUUCAUAUUCGAAUAAGAAAAAUAAUUUUUCGUUGUUUUAACAGGAUUGCAAGGAUGAGCAGAUUUCGUUUACGAUCUUGGCUAAUCUUAAGAAUCGUCGUUUUAUUUCGUGGGUUUUCAAAGAGAUAUUCUGAAUGCGAGAAUAACUCCAAGGGACGAGAAAAUUCGUCACUGGGAUAAUCCUGGGCAGAGUGAGAAACGAGAGAAAAAAAAAAAUACUGAGAAAGAAGAGAAUGUCGAAAGAAAGCAGACGAUUUCGAGAAAAAAAGGCAGCUCUGCUUUCUAAUCUAUUGACACAAAGGAUCCACUAAUAGCGGAACCUUCCUAGAAAGGUCGAGCCACUUUGAAAAUUUCGAGUUUUAAAAACAAAUCCACCUACUAGUCUUGCACAACGACAAGAAGUUGUAAAUUAACGACUGAAAAAGAAUAGUUUGUAACUUGGAACUUUUCUUGUUCAAAGAAAAUUCCUGCUCUUGACUCGAGGUUUCUCCCAUCGAAUCACCGAGUUCACGAGCCAUCAUCGACGAAGCCGCCCGGAUCCCCUUCGAUCCCUGCGCAACAUCUGCUCUGAUCAUGAACGCAUAAA